rnacentral:rRNA from 1 species
GAUGAACGCUAGCGGCAGGCUUAAUACAUGCAAGUCGUGGGGCAGCAGGACUGUAGCACUACAGUUGCUGGCGACCGGCAAACGGGUGCGGAACACGUACGCAACUUACCCUGAACUGGGGGAUAGCCCGGGGAAACCCGGAUUAAUACCCCGUAAUAUAAUGGAGUGGCAUCACUUUAUUAUUAAAGCUCCGGCGGUUCGGGAUGGGCGUGCGGCUGAUUAGGUAGUUGGUUGAGGUAACGGCUCACCAAGCCUACGAUCAGUAACUGGUGUGAGAGCACGACCAGUCACACGGGCACUGAGACACGGGCCCGACUCCUACGGGAGGCAGCAGUAAGGAAUAUUGGGCAAUGGAGGCAACUCUGACCCAGCCAUGCCGCGUGGAGGAUGAAGGCCCUCUGGGUUGUAAACUUCUUUUAUAGGGGACGAAGCCUGUGUAUUCUUACGCAGUUGACGGUACCCUAGGAAUAAGCACCGGCUAACUCCGUG